GCCUGAAGUGGUGGCAGGUGCCUGUAAUCGCAGCUACUUGGGAGGCUGAGGCAGGAGAAUUGCUUGAACUCGGGAGGUAGAGGUUGCAGUGAGCUGAGAUGGUGCCACUGAACUCCAGCCUGGGCAACAAGAGCGAAACUCCAACUCAAAAAAUAAAUAAAUAAAAUAUAGAUAGAUAGAUAGACAGAUAGAUAGAGACCUACCAGGAGCAGGGGACCACCAGGUUGCCUAAGGAGGGGUGAACUGUCCCAGGAUGGAAAUGAAACAGGUCAAAACUCGUGUGUUGAUCAAUAGUGGGAGAGCACCUGUGAAUAACCACUGCACUCCAGCCUGGGCAACACAGUGAGACCCUAUCUCUA
rnacentral:SRP_RNA from 1 species